rnacentral:rRNA from 1 species
UACGUAGGGUGCGAGCGUUAAUCGGAAUUACUGGGCGUAAAGCGUGCGCAGGCGGUUUGCUAAGACCGAUGUGAAAUCCCCGGGCUCAACCUGGGAACUGCAUUGGUGACUGGCAGGCUAGAGUAUGGCAGAGGGGGGUAGAAUUCCACGUGUAGCAGUGAAAUGCGUAGAGAUGUGGAGGAAUACCGAUGGCGAAGGCAGCCCCCUGGGCCAAUACUGACGCUCAUGCACGAAAGGCGUGGGGAGC